UCCCUUAUAGCUCAGUUGGUAAAGACUUUGCCUGCAGUGCAGGAGACCCGGGUUCAAUUCCUGGAUUGGGAA
rfam:TPA: Bos taurus chromosome 19, whole genome shotgun sequence.